rnacentral:rRNA from 1 species
CCUACGGGGGGCAGCAGUGGGGAAUAUUGGACAAUGGGGGCAACCCUGAUCCAGCCAUGCCGCGUGUGUGAAGAAGGCCCUCGGGUUGUAAAGCACUUUCAGUGAGGAAGAACGCCUGGUGGUUAAUACCCAUCAGGAAAGACAUCACUCACAGAAGAAGCACCGGCUAACUCCGUGCCAGCAGCCGCGGUAAUACGGAGGGUGCGAGCGUUAAUCGGAAUUACUGGGCGUAAAGCGCGCGUAGGUGGCUUGAUAAGCCGGUUGUGAAAGCCCCGGGCUCAACCUGGGAACGGCAUCCGGAACUAUCAAGCUAGAGUGCAGGAGAGGAAGGUAGAAUUCCCGGUGUAGCGGUGAAAUGCGUAGAGAUCGGGAGGAAUACCAGUGGCGAAGGCGGCCUUCUGGACUGACACUGACACUGAGGUGCGAAAGCGUGGGUAGCAAACAGGAUUAGAUACCCCGGUAGUC